GGAAGAUGUAUGGUUACCCUCUUGACACAAGGAUGAUUUAGAAUGUGAGUUCCAUGAGGAAGAGGGCAGGGAUCUUGAUUUUGUUCCCUGCUGUAUUCCCAAGGUGUAGAAUGAAGACUGACACAUAACCAUGCCUGCUUUCUCUUCACCUUCCACCAUGAUUGGUAGUUUCCUGAGGCCUCCCCAGCCAUGUCCCCUGUACAGCCUGUGGAACUGGGAGCAGCUGCAAAGGAACACCACAAUGAUAUUCCACUGGAAAAAGGGCCAAACCACCUGAUCAUAAGAACAUCUUAUCAAUAUCCUCCUGGGCAGCAAGCCAUACUGCCCAGCUCCCUCCCACCCAUACCUCAGCUGCAACCAGGAUCACCCCCAUUGCUGGACAUCACAUCCAACACUGGGCUUCAAUUCGUGGGGUUCCCAAGGCAUACAGAAUUCCUCAACUUGGCAACAGUCAACUCCAGGAGCCUGUUAUAAGUGCAUCCAACAGGGACACUGAGCAAAAGCCUGGCCUAAUCCCGUGACACUCUGGAAGCCUUGCCCCAUCUGUGAUAUCAAGCAACACUGGAAGUCAGACUGUGCUCAGUGAAACUCUUCAUCUAGCUUCACCACCUGUACCUGAAGACAGGUGGGGCCUAGAGUCCACCACCCCUACUGCCAUCACCACCUCGGAACCCAGGGUAAUUCUGUCAGUCUCUAGUAAGUCCAUGUCUUUCCUAUUGGAUACUCAAUACGACAACUAGUUACUCGGUUUUACCAGAAUAUUCUAGACCCUUUUUCUGUUCUUCGAUCUCUAUUGUGAGAAUCAAUAAAAUCCCCUCUAGGCACAGACUCGUCCUUUAUUAUGCAACCUAUUCAACAGCCCCCUUCACCCACUGUUUCCUGGUUAUCCCUCAGUCCCCUACCCCUAUCUUGGGGUGGGACAUAUUAAGUAAAUUCCAGGCCUCCAUGCAAUGCGGCUCCUACAAUUCUACCCCUUUUAUUUUACUCCGACACCCAAACGCUUCCCUCUCCCCCUACUCAUCCUCAUUAUCCACCCUGUUACCUUCUGUUAAUUCUAAAGCUUGGAAUGUUUCUAAACCCACAAUAGCCACACAUCACAUCCCAGUUAAAAUAACCUUUCAAAACUCCUCCAUUUUCUUUUUUCAGUCUCAAUAUCCCCUUAAUCCAGCCGUGCUUAGGGGCCUCAAACCUAUUAUUUGUAAACUUUAACAAGCUCAUAUUCUCAAGCCUGUUAACUCUCCCCAGAACACCCCUAUUCUGGCUUUCCAAAAGACAGACGGGACUUACCCCUUUGUCCAGGAUCUCCAAGUUGUUGACCAGGCAGUGGUACCAAUACAUCUAGUGGUCCUCAACCAAUAUGCUCUACUCUCCCAUAUUCCUAAAUCUACUACACACUCCUCUGUAUUGGAACUGAAAGAUGCCUAUUUCACCAUUCCCUUAAAUCCGGCUUACAGAAGUCUUUUUGCUUUAACUUGGUCAAGUCCUAAUACUCACAUGUGCACCCAACUAGAGUGGACUGUACUCUUACAGGGGUUCCAGGAUAGCCCCCACCUAUUCAGACUUGCCCUCAUCAAGGACCUAGGUGAACUUUCCCUUGCUGCUAGCACCCUCCUGCAACAUGUCAAACUCCUUCUCUGUAGCCCCUUCCUUAACCUGUCCAUCCAACACACCACUUAGGUUUUAAACUUCCUCCAUAAUAGAGGAAAUCUCAGGUAGCCCAAACCAAAGUUUGGGCCUAGCCCACAAUAUUUCAGGUAGCCCAAACCAAAGUUACUUACCUUGGGUUUGUCCUAACCCCUAAUUCUCGAGCCAUCCCAACCCAAUGAAAGGAGCUAAUUUGGGACAUGCCCUUUCCUCACACAAAAAAGUACCUUCUCUCCUUCUCGGGCCUUGUGGGUUACUUCUGGCUGUCAGUUCCCAAUUUUGACUUGCUGGCCAAGCCACUAAACAGGGCCUCACAUGGGCCCAUCCUAAAACCCCUAAACCCAGCUUGCCCCAUCAACUCCCACUUAAAAACUUAAAAAUGCCCUUUUAAUGGCCCUGGCACAGGGACUGCCCAACCUCACCAAGCCCGUUACUUUGUAUGUACAUUCUGACCAGGGCCUUGCCCUUGGACUACUCUGCCAAACAUACGGCAACGCCACACAAGCCACUGCACUUCUCUCAAAACAACUGGACUCUGUUGUUUUGUGUGACCAAGGCUGGUCACUCUGACUAAAAAUCUUGGCUGUGGCCACAUCGCUGGCCUUAGAGGCACGGAAACUCCCUCUUUACCAACACAUUACUAUUGCAUCUUCCCAUUACCUACAGGACCUCAUAAACCAUCAAUCCCUUCUAUCCCUCCUACCAUCCUGCUUAUAACAGGUACAUGCCUUAUUCCUAGGUAGCCCUCUAAUCCCCUUCCAGAGAUAUAAAACUCUCAACCCAGCCACCCUCCUCCCUGUAAACACUUCCGAUUCUAGGCUCUCUCACUCCUGUCUGGACCUCUUAGACUCCCUCUCCUCCUCCUUCCAACACAUUUCACAUGCCCCUUUGCAGGGAACACAUACACGGUUAGUUAAUGGAAGCUCUUUUAGGGAGCCAUGUCCAGCAGCUGGCUAUUCCAUCAUUGCUGAAAAUAAACUCCUAGAAUCCAAUGCUCUGCCACCCCAUGCUACCUCUCAACAGCCUAAGCUAGUUGCCCUAACCAGGGCCCUCACCCUAGCAAAGGGAAAGAGGGUCAACAUUUACACCCAUUCCAAAUAUGCAUACCAUGUCCUACAGUCUCAUGCCUUCAUCUGGCAGGAACAGGGUUUCCUAACUACAAAAGGAACUCCCAUAAGAAAUGGCAAACUUAUACAUAAGCUGCUGGGGGUGGAUAAACUACCACCAAAGGCCACCAUUAUCCAUUGCAAGGGGUGCCGAAAGUCUAAAGAUGCCAUAACCGAGAGAAACCUUUCAACAAAUUUGGCAGCCUGGCAGGCAGCCCUUAAAACCCCAUCGUUAUUGCUCAUUUUUUCCUGUAUAUACCCAGAAGGAAUGAACCCCACUUGCCCGGGCUGGUGCCAUUCAGGAAAAAAUUGUUUGAUCUCAGUGAUAAAGUGUCUUGUCCAAGUUUAAAAAACCUUCUGUACUUUCAUAUGUGCACAACCAUUUCCAUGCUGCUUACUGCCCCUACUCCAGCUUUUAGAAAAUUAUAUACAUUCUUCUGCCAUGGCUGCCAAUCUGAAAUAUAUUACUAAGGCAUGUUCCCUUUGCACUCAAACUUCCCCUCAGGAAGCUAUCAAACCACCUCCUUUCCAACACACAAGGUCUGAGGACACUUACCAGGGCAGGACUAGCAAAUCAACGUCACUCACAUGUCCCCCAGAAAGUGAUUCCUAUACCUUCUGACAAUAGUAGAUACAUUCUCUGGAUGGAUAAAAGCUUUUCCCACCACCACCGAAAAGGCACAGACCAUUGCUUCUAUUCUCUUCACCCAUAUUAUCCACCGGUUUAAACUCCCCUCUUGCAUCCAGUCAGACAACGGGCCAAUUUGUUUCACAGUUUAACCAACAGCUGGUAAAGGCUGUAAACAUUAAAUUGGCUUUGCAUAUUCCUUACCACCCCGAAUCUUCAGGGAAACUUUUUUAGAAAACAGCAACUGACCAAUCUUCCCUAAAGGUUAAAAUGGCCUGGACUUCACUUCUCCCAUUGUUCCUCAUGCAUUUAUGAGUCAUUUCCCAAAAGCUCCUCAGCCUAAGCCCAUUUAAACUCAUGUACAAAUGCCCUUUUAUCCUCCAGAAUCUCCCUGUAUUUUCCCCCCAUUCUAUAUGGAAUACUUGGCCGGCGUUACACCUCACCCAACAUCUAAUAAGACAGUACACAAAUGCUUACUUGACCCAGCCUAAAAGUCCAUCCUCAAAAUACUCCGCCCUGUCCCUACAACCAGGGGACUGGGUCUGAAUCACAGACUCCUCCUCCUCCCCUUUCCAACCUAAGCGGAAAUGUUCCCACCAGGUUAUCCUAACUACUCCGACUGGGGCAAAGCUAACAUCCUUUCCACACUGAAUACACCAUUCCAAACUAAAAAGAGCACCAGACCCACAUCUAGAAAUUUCCUCACCCCCAUAUUAUUCUCCUUCCCCGACAGGACCAACCUCACUGUACUUAACAAGAAUUCCAGAAGUUGCCAAUCCAGAACACCUUAGUCCAUAACACUCUCUGUCUCCAAUUUCCAAUCUUUUAUCUCCUACUUUAUUUCAGAUCUUUCCUGGCUACCCUUCCCCAUGUCCCUGAAUAGUCCAUGCCAAUUCGUCAUACUAAUCCAGGAGGUAUGACUGCAGGGCACCUUCCAAAAUUUCACUCCUACUCAAAUCUCCUCUUUCUUCUUUUGUCCUCUUUGUCUGUGGGAUACUCUAAGUCCCCACCCCCAACCUCUGACAGUUGAGCCCCCUUCAUCAGCCUCACACCUUUCCUCUUAAAUCAGUCACACUCCCCUCUUCCUUCCAACUGUUAAACUUGUUUGUCCACACAAAUCCAGCAAUUCACAGCCCUUCCUGUCAACCUGGCCACAUGAACUCGGUCCAAAAUAAGCCUGCAUCUCACCUACUUGACCAGUUCAUUCCCAAACCUGUUUAUAAUCUUGAUCAGCUAAACUCUUUUUCCCCCAAUCCAUCAAAUCCACCCACACCAUCACAUACAGGGCUGUCACCCUCCCUCGCCUCAUAGCCUCUUAACUGAAUAUGUUACAAACGGAUUCCAUAAAACACCUUUUAGAAACCCCUCCCCUCUUGGCUGGAGCCGCUCUUCAUAUUAUCCAACUCAAGGGCGCUCGCUGGAAAACAUGCACAAACAAUUCCCUCAAGUGCAACCUAUAUCCUUCUGCCCUGUCAGGGCUACAAUGGCUAUUAGUUACAAAAACCCAUUUCCCCCUCUCUUUCCAAAACCAAACAGCCUCCAUCUCCUCCACCACCAACAUUUCCUAUCAGGCCGUCAGAGGGGCUACCCUUGCUGGCAGCUAUUCAACUUGGAAAAAUAUAAAAGUUAAAACAAAGAAUUUCUGCAGAAUUCAACACCCACCUUCUCAUGGCUUGCCACCAUAACCUACAACUUUUGUCUGUCCACCCCCAGUGUCUUCUUCUUUUGUGCCACAAACUCUUAUCUCUGCCUACUGGCCAAAUGGUCAGGAACAUACACCCUGGUGUUUCAGCCUAAACAUUAACAUUUUGCCUAACAAGCAGACCAUCCAGGUUCCUUUAGUAGCUUCUGUCUCAUCUUCCUCCACACACACUAAGCAGGCUCUACAUCUCAUUCUAGUGUUAGCAGAAGUAAACAUCUCUGCUGCAGUCAGCACUGAGAUAGCAGGGGGCCCCUUUCUUAGGACCCUUAAUUUUCCUCCUCCUAAUACUACAAUUGGCCCAUGUAUAUUUACCUUCAUAUCCCGCUUUAUCUCCCGAAGGCUAAACUCCCCUGUCCAGGCGGCCACCCAGCAACACAUUGAUACCAUCCUUCUCCUCUGCCAAGUCCAGUACCAGUGCCUCCAGGAAAACAACUCUGAAGUCCAACACCCACUGCUUCAAAACCCAAACCCUGAUUACAGCUCCCCUAUUCGGCAGGAAGCAGCCAGAUAAUCAACAAUGCCCCUCUUCCUUUUAUACUAAAGUAGAAGGCAAGAAUGGGCUCUUCGUCUUCUCCCCAUUGGUGCUGGAAGUUGGCUGUUCCAUGAUUCUGUUCCUUCAUAUGCACCUUGAAGACCAUUUACUUUUAGGCUACUGCCAGGCAAAUUUCAACCCAUGUUAUUUUACUCAAUGUCCGUGUAGUUCUUUUAAAUUUCCUAUUUCCAAUCUGCAAUAAUGGCCUUCAGUCUGUCAAAAUUUUAGUGAAUAAACAUUCUUUACUGUGUAUCCUAGUCUUGUUUCAAAUGAGGGGUGUAUUUUCAUAGUAAAUGUAGUCUCCCAACAUGAAUUCUGCCAGUAUGUGGGUGGGGGAAGGAGUGGAUAUUCAAGUGCUGGAAGUUGUUCUCAGUGUUUACAUGCAGGAUGCUACAAUCUAAGACCCACAUGUGCACCAGUAUGGGCAUAGUUAUACUUUGUACUGAAGAUUGUGUCCAGUGCAAAAAGAAAAAUGCAUUCAGUUUGG
rnacentral:lncRNA from 10 species